rnacentral:misc_RNA from 1 species
CAACCAACCUAAAUUUCACCAGCAUCUCUUAGGUUUCAAAAUGUCAAAUUGCAAUACGCUAGUGCAGAAAACAACAUAUCAAAACAAUGUGAACGGCAUAAAAACUUUUCAAGUAAUAAAGCUGAUGAGAAGUAAUAAGCCGGAAUAUGCAAAUUGCAUAGUGACAAUAUCUGUUGAAGGAACUAUAAGAGACUCACUCAAUGCAAAAGCUCUAACCAUCAUCAUCCAUUUCCUCAAGUAUAACAUAUUUUGCAGCAACAUUUGCCAUAGGCGAACCAGCCACGUCAUCUUCACUCAUUUGACGCUUUUGUAGCUUUUCAUAUUUGUACCAAUUGAAUAAACUCACGCCCACCAUUAUGAUUAAAAGGCCAACACCUUUCAACCAUGUAAAUUUGUCAUGGAAGUAAAAGACUGCAACCAAUAUGGUGACAGCCUCCUUGACAACACCUGCAAUAGUCACUGUGACAGCACUAGUUACUGAAACAAGAACAUAUUCCGUUAAAACCAUGAAAAAGGCCAGUGUUCCACCAAAAAACAUCAAGAAGCAGCUCCGCGCAAUGUGCCAAGAAUUAUCAAAGUAACUGCUCUUUCUAAAUUCAUACCAUGGAUCAAACAUAAGAGAAAAAAGAGCAGUUACAAUUGCCAUCACUGGAGUCACAAAACUCAUCAAUGUAAGUGGAUUUUUCAAACCAUAUUCUUCUUUCUGCAGAAGAAUUU